UUCUGCAUAAAAGAAUCUAUA
rnacentral:piRNA from 1 species